CAUUAACCACAGGAGGAAAUAGAGGAGGGCAUCGAUAUGAGUCAACAUUGUGGGUUUCUAUUCCCACGUUACCCACAUUGACACAGAGCAGCCGAGUUCCUGUUCUCAUUUCAGAUGAAAACUGUGGUCACUGAUCAGUCACGUCAGUCUGCGUGAGGGUGAAUAUCUACCUGCUCGUCUUAGUGCUUGGCUAUAAGGCCGCUGCAGGAAUAAUCCAUGAAAUAGUUGAAGAAAAGACUAUGUGCGUCUGCCAUGUCCUCACUCUGUGGAGGGAGACGUGACGUGGAGCAGAGAGAGGAAUGGAGACACAGUUAACAUACUGACAGUUAAUGACUCUGGAAGAUACUUCUGUAACAGUGAAGCAGCUGCAGAUCUGACGGUGAUCCCAUCAGGUAACA